rnacentral:rRNA from 1 species
AAGAAUCAAGUUAUAUAUUAUAGGUAAAAAGAUAGUUAAGCAAUGAAUUUAUUAUAUAGUUAUAAGAUCUCUUAUUUAAAGGUAAAAUUUAAACAUAAGAAAAUAUUCUAAUUAAAACUUUAAUUUUAAUGCUGAAGCUAUGAAAAUUUAGAUAUAAACUAGGAUUAGAUGCCCUAUUAUUCUAAAUCAUAAAUUAAUUAAUUCCAUUAUGUUUACCAGAGUAUUACGAGCCAAAAGCUUAAAACUCAAAGAGCUUGGCGGUACUUCAUACCCUUUAGGGGAACCUGUCUCAUAAUCGAUAAUCCACGUUAUACCUUACCUUUUUUAGUAAUCAGUUUGUAUACCGUCGUCGUUCAGGCAACUUCUAAAAAUAUAAAAGUUGACAAGAAAGAUUUUAAUCUUAGACGUCAGAUCAAGGUGCAGCCAAUAGAAAGGAGAGGAUGGGUUACAAUUAAAAUUUAUAAUUACGGAAUAAAAGAUUAAAUAUUUUUUUAUAAAGGCGGACUUAAAAGUAAAUUUACAUAUAUAAAUUCUUUGAAUAUGGCUCUGAAGUGUGC